rnacentral:rRNA from 1 species
CAGGAUUAGAUACCCUGGUAGUCCACGCUGUAAACGAUGAGUGCUAAAUGUGAGGAUUUUAUCUUUGUAUUGUAGCUAACGCGUUAAGCACUCCGCCUGGGGACUACGGUCGCAAGACUAAAACUCAAAGGAAUUGACGGGGACCCGCACAAGCGGUGGAGCAUGUGGUUUAAUUCGAUGCUACGCGAAAAACCUUACCACUUUUUGACAUGAAGGUCGUAUCCCUCUUAACAGGGGGAGUCAGUUCGGCUGGACCUUACACAGGUGCUGCAUGGUUGUCGUCAGCUCGUGUCGUGAGAUGUUGGGUUAAGUCCCGCAACGAGCGCAACCCUCAUCCUUAGUUACCAACAGGUAAUGCUGGGCACUCUAGGGAAACUGCCAGUGAUAAACUGGAGGAAGGUGGGGAUGAUGUCAAAUCAGCACGGCCCUUAUAAGGUGGGCUACACACGUGCUACAAUGGCAACUACAAUAGGUUGCGAGACCGCAAGGUUUAGCUAAUCCAUAAAAGUUGUCUCAGUUCGGAUUGUUCUCUGCAACUCGAGAGCAUGAAGUCGGAAUCGCUAGUAAUCGUGGAUCAUCACGCCACGGUGAAUACGUUCUCGGGUCUUGUACACACUGCCCGUCACGCCAUGGGAAUUGGCUUAACUCGAAGCUGGUGUGCUAACAGCAAGGAAGCA